AGGUCACUGAGUCAAGAUGCCAACCCAGCACCAUCAUGUUUUCCACUAAGCCGUGUCUUUCUAGAGCCAUGGUGCUGCUUGUCAUUCAGGAGGUUUUUGCUUGUCAAAUGAAAAUGUCUUUACAAGGAAGGUGGUCAAAAACUGAGUCACCAGGGUGUCAUGGCUGUAAACUGAACAACAAGCUCCACAGAGACUCUGUGGGCCUUUUGUCAGUAGGGACGGAGCUUCUGAAAUCAUAUUCCAAGGUGACAUUCUGUGGUCUGGAAAACUCAUGGGGAAGAUUAGUUUAUUUUAUUGCCAAAAACAUCAGCAGAAAAUGUGUAAUCACUGCCAGAGCACAGCCUCCUAGACAACUUUUCUGCUUGGCAAACUUGAUCAGGAACACUCCAGGAAGUGCUGAAUGAAUCAUCUGUAAUUGCUGAAGGAGGAACUCAAUUAUGCAGCAGGAUUUGGCCCUUAUUUUCCUGAAGCUGACAGAAAAAAUGAGCAACUGAUGAAGAUUGAAUCAGUUUAAAAGCAUACUAAAAAGUAGAUUCUUUCUAUGGACAAGGUGGAAAUAAGGGUCAGCCCUGCUGGAGAACAUCUUUGUAAACCAAGGUAUUUGCAGUGUUUCAAUGUGACCUCCCAUUCCCUCUCAUUAUCUUCCACUUAUUAACCCUGAUCUAACUGUUAUUGAUAGCUCUAUUAUUCUGCUUGGGACGUCAGUGACAGUCUCACUGACCUUGCCCUGGGUGAUCAGAAACUCAUUUAAUGCUCAGCAUACUCUUUGCUGAAGUGUAUUGAGGGAAAAGUAAAUUCAGCAUGAGAAGCAGGCAUGUGUUUUUACAAGGGUUUCUUGUGAUGCUAUUAAUUAUCUCAAGAGGUGCAUUAUUCUCCAUUAAAUAUACUGAAAACUUGUCUGAAUUCCUCUUCUGUCUAAGAGAUAAAGUUUGAAAUAAGAACAAAAGAAUGAGAAUUGCUAAUCCUUGAUGCUGCAUAGUGUUAAUUGUGAGAAAAUAGGCCAGGAAAGCAUGACUAAAUGAAAAACUAACAGUUCAAGAUUUUACAUGUUUUCAUGAUUCUCUCUUACUAGCAUGCCUACCUCUUGGGCAGUAUCAUUAGCUACUUUCUGAACACUCAGUGUCACAGAGAAUAAAAUCUCUCUUCACACUCUCAUAUUUGUGUAGUUGAUUUAUUGGCUAAGUGAUAACACUUUUGUUUUGUAUGUAUGUAAUCACAAGAAUUGCCCACUAGCAGGACCAGAUCAUGAGCACUUCAUGAAAAUGGGGAAAAAUUGAAACUCUUAGAAAAAUUCAAUGAGAAUUAUGUCUAUCUGGCUCUUCCCUUAAGCCUGGAAUUUUGUGGUACUCUGGCUUGGUAUUGCGGCUCGGGUUUUCACCUGUGAAGUUGCAGGGCUUAGGCUGUAAGGAAUGAUAAGUUUCUUCUAUUUAUUAAUUCAGUCUUAUAUAGAUAUAUUUGUUUAUGAUAAAGCUAUAAUGUAUCUCCUUUUAUUGUGAUGGAAACGGUCUAAAAAGUUAAUCUUCUGUAGUAAUGAUCUCCUUUUAUCUCUCUCACUUUCAGCAGUGGAAAUAGUCAGCCUGUUGAUUAAUCACUGCUUUUAAUUCCCUGUUUUGGUGUACUUCCAUGUAACUCCACUGCUUGCAUCACACAUACUAUGCAGGGAUAUUUAAUUGCUUUAAAAUAAGAUCAUUGAUGGAAAUAAGACAGAUGAGCUUUCCGUCUGCUCACAGAAGCAUAUGAGUACUUUGGUUUUGGAAAAAUACGGUUUUGAAAAUCUAGUAAAUCUAGUUUCACCAUAAAACUAUAUCUGUCAGUCUUAAUGGACAAAGUUCUGUUGGCGUGUUUGCUAAUUGGAGAUGAGAAGGUUGAGAUUCUGAAAAUGCUGGGCUAAAUUGCAGACACAUGAAAAACUACACACAUGUUCUUUGUUUCAGUGGUACUUCAUGUCAUCACUCCUCGUGUCAGCAGGAAAGUUACAAAUUAUCUGUUUAAUAGAUGUAGAGCACAGGAGGCUACAAAAUAGUAUUUGGUUCAAAUGAAAGAACAUUGUUUUUUCAAAAAGGAUGCCUGAAUAGUCCAUCAAAAUUGU